UGAAUCCACUCCUUGUGACCUACCAACAGUAUCUAAACAAUGUACUGGACUACCGCCUUUGUCUUGAUCGUAAUCUGCUUGACAUGUUGCAGGGCUCAGCGCCUGUUGACACAGCCCUCUUCUUUGUCUGUGUCGGUGGGUGAAACAGUUAAAAUCUCCUGUGCAAUGAGUGGUGGAACCUUAUACGUUACAUCCUGGUGCCAGCAGAAACCUGGAAGCACAGUGCAGGGUCUUGUGUACUACCAAAGUGAAUCAAAUAAGGGCAGCAGCCCUGGAGUCCCAGAUCGGUUUACUGCAACUAAAGACACGUCUAGUAAUACUGCUGUUUUAACCAUCACUGGUGUCCAAGCAGAAGACGAGGCUGAUUAUUAUUGUGCUAAUGGAGACAGCAGCUACAGUCCUGUAUACACAAUGAUACAGUCACAGAAGGAAGUGAAACAGAAACUUUCUUCAUCAGUGAGCAUACUGUUGCUUGUUUCUGUGUUCUCAGCAUUAACUCCUGAGUAUCAUCCGAAUUAAAGGCUUAUCAUUUAUUUUCUGAAUCUUCUGGAUAGUAAAUAUCACCCCCUGCCAGCUACCCAUAAAUUCUCCAAGGUAGGGAUUAUCCAGUCAGAUUUUUAAGCCAAGACAGGACUAUUAU